GACGAACGCUGGCGGCGUGCUUAACACAUGCAAGUCGAACGAUGAAGCUGGAGCUUGCCCCGGUGGAUUAGUGGCGAACGGGUGAGUAACACGUGCGAAAUCUGCCCUUGACUCUGGGAUACCUGCGGACAACUGUAGCUAAUACCGGAUCUUUUCCUUUGUGGGCAUCCACUGCGGAAGAAAGACUUUCGGUCAAGGAUGAUUGCGCGGCCUAUCAGCUAGUUGGAGCGGUAAUGGCUAACCAGGGCGACGACGGGUAGCCGACCGGAGAGGGUGACCGGCCACACUGGGACUGAGACACGGCCCAGACUCCUACGGGAGGCAGCAGUGGGGAAUAGUGCACAAUGGGCGCAAGCCGGAUGCAGCAACGCCGCGUGAGGGCAGAAGGCCUUCGGGUUGUAAACCUCUUUUAGCAGGGAAGAAGCGAAAGUGACGGUACCUGCAGAAAAAGCACCGGCUAACUACGUGCCAGCCGCCGCCGUAA
rnacentral:rRNA from 1 species